UACGUAGGGGGCAAGCGUUGUCCGGAUUUAUUGGGCGUAAAGAGCGUGUAGGCGGCCAUACAGGUCCGUUGUGAAAACUGGAGGCUUAACCUCCAGACGUCGAUGGAAACCGUAUGGCUAGAGUCCGGAAGAGGAGAAUGGAAUUCCUGGUGUAGCGGUGAAAUGCGCAGAUAUCAGGAAGAACACCGAUGGCGAAGGCAGUUCUCUGGGACGGUACUGACGCUGGAGACGCGAAAGCGUGGGGAGCGAACAGG
rnacentral:rRNA from 1 species